rnacentral:rRNA from 1 species
UACGGAGGAUCCAAGCGUUAUCCGGAGUUAUUGGGUUUAAAGGGUGCGUAGGCGGCCUAUUAAGUCAGGGGUGAAAGACGGUAGCUUAACUAUCGCAGUGCCUUUGAUACUGAUAGGCUUGAAUGUACUUGAGGUAGGCGGAAUGUGACAAGUAGCGGUGAAAUGCAUAGAUAUGUCACAGAACACCAAUUGCGAAGGCAGCUUACUAAAGUAUGAUUGACGCUGAGGCACGAAAGCGUGGGGAUCAAACAGG